rnacentral:rRNA from 1 species
UACGUAGGGUGCGAGCGUUGUCCGGAAUUAUUGGGCGUAAAGGGCUCGUAGGCGGUUUGUCGCGUCGGGAGUGAAAUCCACUGGCUUAACUGGUGGCUUGCUUUCGAUACGGGCAGACUGGAGGUAUGCAGGGGAGAACGGAAUUCCUGGUGUAGCGGUGAAAUGCGCAGAUAUCAGGAGGAACACCGGUGGCGAAGGCGGUUCUCUGGGCAUGUCCUGACGCUGAGGCGCGAAAGCUAGGGGAGCAAACAGG